CCAUCAAUAACUGCCUGAGACCGCUCCUGGGCCAUUUCCUCGAUGCCCCGCCCCUCCUGGGGGCCGGUCCAAUCCCAUCUUCCCAGCAGGCCCCGCCGAUAGAAACUCCCCGAGACAGUUUCUGGGCUGCUUCCCCGAGGUCCCGCCCCUGUCGCCCCGAGCGCUCUCGUGGCUGAGGACCCGCUUGGGACCUGGCCAGGUGUUCCUGGGGUCAGGCUGCAAGCCGUGUGUUGUGCCGGGCACCACAGAUGCGGGGUGGAAUGAGGCAGAGUCCCACACCUCAGGAGCCACCAUCUUGCUGGAGGACAGAGGAAGCCAAGUCUCUGGCUGGUGCUGUGUGAAGCACAGGCUGUGCAAUGUAGAGGUGGAGACAGAGACGCCAGCACACACCACAUAGUGACCCAUAGGCCCUGGGGAAGCUUUUCCUGAGGACAAGGAUGCUAAAGAGUAUUCCAGAAUAAGCUGGAGGAUUCCGCCUGCCUGUCAGCCUACAGCAAGCCAGACCCAGGUACAAACCCCGAUUCCCAUGCACAUUUAUGCCAGAGCCCGAAGAGAGGUGACCAGCCCUCCACACUUGGCUGAGGACCCAGCCCUUCAGCACAUGCCAGGGCGUUAGACAACUAGCUGGUGUGGGUGACACCCCUGGUACCCCAAAAGGCACUGAUGCCUUUCAGCAUCCAUCCCUGGGGUCGCGUGUGGCCAGCAAGGCCAGUCAGCCACUCCUCUGGGCCUGUGCCAGAGCUCCAAUAUUUUUAGGCUGACAUUUGCCAGAGCUGUGGAAGCUGAGGUG